rnacentral:rRNA from 1 species
GAUGAACGCUGGCGGCGUGCUUAACACAUGCAAGUCGAACGGAAAGGCCCCUUUGGGGGUCCUCGAGUGGCGAACGGGUGAGUAACACGUGAGUAACCUGCCCUUGACUUCGGGAUAACUUCAGGAAACUGGGGCUAAUACCGGAUAGGAAUCCUUGCUGCAUGGUGGGGGUUGGAAAGCUUCGGCGGUUUUGGAUGGACUCGCGGCUUAUCAGCUUGUUGGUGGGGUAGUGGCUUACCAAGGCUUUGACGGGUAGCCGGCCUGAGAGGGCGACCGGCCACAUUGGGACUGAGAUACGGCCCCGACUCCUACGGGAGGCAGCAGUGGGGAAUAUUGCACAAUGGGCGGAAGCCUGAUGCAGCAACGCCGCGUGCGGGAUGACGGCCUUCUGGUUGUAAACCGCUUUCAGCAGGGGCGAAGCUUGUGGUGACGGUACCUGCAGAAGAAGCACCGGCUAACUACGUG